rnacentral:rRNA from 1 species
AGUGGCGAACGGGUGAGUAACACGUGGGUGAUCUGCCCUGCACUUUGGGAUAAGCCUGGGAAACUGGGUCUAAUACCGAAUAUGAUCAUGCUCUUCAUGGGGUGUGGUGGAAAGCUUUUGCGGUGUGGGAUGGGCCCGCGGCCUAUCAGCUUGUUGGUGGGGUAAUGGCCUACCAAGGCGACGACGGGUAGCCGGCCUGAGAGGGUGACCGGCCACACUGGGACUGAGAUACGGCCCAGACUCCUACGGGAGGCAGCAGUGGGGAAUAUUGCACAAUGGGCGCAAGCCUGAUGCAGCGACGCCGCGUGAGGGAUGACGGCCUUCGGGUUGUAAACCUCUUUCAGCACAGACGAAGCGCAAGUGACGGUAUGUGCAGAAGAAGGACCGGCCAACUACGUGCCAGCAGCCGCGGUAAUACGUAGGGUCCGAGCGUUGUCCGGAAUUACUGGGCGUAAAGAGCUCGUAGGUGGUUUGUCGCGUUGUUCGUGAAAACUCACAGCUUAACUGUGGGCGUGCGGGCGAUACGGGCAGACUGGAGUACUGCAGGGGAGACUGGAAUUCCUGGUGUAGCGGUGGAAUGCGCAGAUAUCAGGAGGAACACCGGUGGCGAAGGCGGGUCUCUGGGCAGUAACUGACGCUGAGGAGCGAAAGCGUGGGGAGCGAACAGGAUUAGAUACCCUGGUAGUCCACGCCGUAAACGGUGGGUACUAGGUGUGGGUUUCCUUCCUUGGGAUCCGUGCCGUAGCUAACGCAUUAAGUACCCCGCCUGGGGAGUACGGCCGCAAGGCUAAAACUCAAAGGAAUUGACGGGGGCCCGCACAAGCGGCGGAGCAUGUGGAUUAAUUCGAUGCAACGCGAAGAACCUUACCUGGGUUUGACAUGCACAGGACGCUGGUAGAGAUAUCAGUUCCCUUGUGCUCUGUGUGAGGUGGGUGCAUGGCUGUCGUCAGCUCGUGUCGU